CGUUGCUACUUUUGAAUGUGUCAUGUUGAUGGUCAUCUAACAAUCAUCUCAAAUAUAAUAUCUUAUAAAGAUUAAAACUCAUUGUUAGAUGACCAUCAACAAACACUUUCAGAGGGCAUGCAGAGCAUCUUAUGGUAAUGCACAUCCCAUCAGGCCGACUUGCUGGGUUGUCCGUGAGAAACUGGCCAUCACUCAUGUUCAUAAAACUUUCGCUCUCCGUGUUGAGAUCCAUAACGUCUUUUGUUGCAUUAGGCCAACUUUGCGUGUUCAACUCUGAACUUUCAGAUAUGCUCCUAGCUGCAUGAUUGGAUUUAGGGUUAGCCUAUUUCUUGACAUCCUUGAGAUUCGUCCAAACAUGAUCGAACUAAAAUCCUUUCUUUUCUUUAAAGUCUUCUCCGUAUAUGAUUCUAGCUUGAGUCAACGAAAGAAUGUAAUUUAAAUAUUAUAAUUUAUGCUUGUAUUUUCUUAUGGGGUAAGUUAAAUAGAUCCUCGUAUCUAAAUUUUCAUAUCUGAUACUCAUUUAUUUAAUUUAAAAAAAAAUAAUUUUAUAAUAAUACUAAAAUAAACCAAUCUUAGUUUUAUUUUUAAGAUCUCGAUGAUACCUUUCUAAAUAUAUAAUUAUUUCAAAAAUUAGAUUAAUAAAAUUUUAACUAUAUUUAUUUGAAAUUAAACAUCUAAUUUAAAUUACUAAAAAUGAUGGCAAAGUGGUAAUUUUUAAGAAAUUAAAUAGUUGAAAGUGGCAAAUGUGUAAAUAAUAAAACUUUGAAUACUGAUUUGGAGAGCCUCUCCAAAUUCUAGCUUCACCAAAUUUGGAGAGUGAAUCAUCUUCAAAUUUGGAGAUCUCCAAAUUUAGAGAGUGAUUGGAGAGGAUUCACUCUCCAAAUUUGGAGGGAUGGAGAUUUUGGAGAGUGAUUGGAGAUGCUCUUACCCCUUUGGUUUGUUCGUGCCUCCCUCUCAAAGAGAAGUCUAGUUUCCUCUUUCAUCCCAAUUCGCCAUCACUUGCUUCAAAAUUUUGCUCUAAAAUGUCAGGUCGAAGCAUCUGAAUACAUAUUUGGGUUUAUGUGAUCUCUAUUGAAGACGAAAUUUGGAAAUUUUGGGGUUCUCUUUUGUAUUUGAGUUGAUAUUUAGGAUUUCUCUUCGGUAUUACUUUCAGAAUUUGAGAUUUCAGAGUUAAUCUAAUUGUGCUUCAACCUCACAUGCGAUCGUGUAGAUCCGGUCCAGACCGCUUGUUGGAUUUCUUAUUUUGUCUGGGGUUUUUUCCUAGCUGCAAUCCAAAGUAUAUUUUUUGUAAAACCAUCUUCUUUUUUUAGUAUUUUUUUGUCGAAUUUUAAUUUUUCUUUGACAGAAAUUAUUGAGUUCAUACUUGUUGAAAUUA